rnacentral:rRNA from 1 species
UACGGAGGGAGCUAGCGUUGUUCGGAAUUACUGGGCGUAAAGCGCACGUAGGCGGCUUUUUAAGUCAGGGGUGAAAUCCCGGGGCUCAACCCCGGAACUGCCCUUGAAACUGGAGAGCUAGAAUCUUGGAGAGGCGAGUGGAAUUCCGAGUGUAGAGGUGAAAUUCGUAGAUAUUCGGAAGAACACCAGUGGCGAAGGCGACUCGCUGGACAAGUAUUGACGCUGAGGUGCGAAAGCGUGGGGAGCAAACAGGG